rnacentral:rRNA from 1 species
CCUACGGGAGGCAGCAGUGAGGAAUAUUGGUCAAUGGGCGCGAGCCUGAACCAGCCAAGUCGCGUGAGGGAUGAAGGUUCUAUGGAUCGUAAACCUCUUUUAUAAGGGAAUAAAGUGUGGGACGUGUCCUAUUUUGUAUGUACCUUAUGAAUAAGGAUCGGCUAACUCCGUGCCAGCAGCCGCGGUAAUACGGAGGAUCCGAGCGUUAUCCGGAUUUAUUGGGUUUAAAGGGUGCGUAGGCGGCCUUUUAAGUCAGCGGUUAAAGGUUGGGGCUCAACCCCCGGAUUGCCGUGGAAACUGGCGGCCUGGAGUAGGCUAGAGGUAGGCGGAAUGCGUGGUGUAGCGGUGAAAUGCAUAGAUAUCACGCAGAACCCCGAUUGCGAAGGCAGCAUGCC